rnacentral:rRNA from 1 species
ACCUAUGGGUAUACUAGUCUGAAGAUGCCCAAUCUCCUCUGAUCUUGGAAGUUAAACUGGAUCAGGUUAGUACUUGCAUGGGAGACUGCCUGGUAAUAUCAGGUGAUGUAGACC